rnacentral:tRNA from 1 species
GCCGGAGUGGCGGAAUUGGUAGACGCACGGGACUUAAAAUCCCGCGGACGAAUAAUCCGUGCCGGUUCGAGUCCGGCCUCCGGCACCA